rnacentral:rRNA from 1 species
UACGUAGGUGGCGAGCGUUGUCCGGAUUUAUUGGGCGUAAAGGGCGCGUAGGCGGUUCGUACAGUCAGACGUGAAAUUCCCGGGCUCAACCUGGGGGCUGCGUUUGAUACGUGCGGGCUUGAGUUCGGAAGAGGGUCGUGGAAUUCCCAGUGUAGAGGUGAAAUUCGUAGAUAUUGGGAAGAACACCGGUGGCGAAGGCGGCGACCUGGUCCGAUACUGACGCUGAGGCGCGAAAGCGUGGGGAGCAAACAGG